AUCAGGGGUGCCGCAUCGUUUGGUGUGGCUGAGAACAGACCCUCGGAAUCUGAACCAGGUAAUGCUGGCGUAGAGAGUAUGAACAUAUU
rnacentral:ncRNA from 1 species